UACAGAGGUCUCAAGCGUUGUUCGGAUUCAUUGGGCGUAAAGGGUGCGUAGGCGGCGCGGUAAGUCGGGUGUGAAAUCUCAGAGCUUAACUCCGAAACUGCAUUCGAUACUGCCGUGCUUGAGGACUGGAGAGGAGACUGGAAUUUACGGUGUAGCGGUGAAAUGCGUAGAUAUCGUAAGGAAGACCAGUGGCGAAGGCGGGUCUCUGGACAGUUCCUGACGCUGAGGCACGAAGGUCAGGGGAGCAAACGGG
rnacentral:rRNA from 1 species